CCUACGGGUGGCAGCAGUGGGGAAUAUUGGACAAUGGGCGAAAGCCUGAUCCAGCCAUGCCGCGUGUGUGAAGAAGGCCUUCGGGUUGUAAAGCACUUUCAGUGGGGAAGAAAGCCUUGGGGCUAAUACCCUCGAGGAAGGACAUCACCCACAGAAGAAGCACCGGCUGAACUCCGUGCCAGCAGCCGCGGUAAUACGGAGGGUGCGAGCGUUAAUCGGAAUUACUGGGCGUAAAGCGCGCGUAGGCGGUCUGAUAAGCCGGUUGUGAAAGCCCCGGGCUCAACCUGGGAACGGCAUCCGGAACUGUCAGGCUAGAGUGCAGGAGAGGAAGGUAGAAUUCCCGGUGUAGCGGUGAAAUGCGUAGAGAUCGGGAGGAAUACCAGUGGCGAAGGCGGCCUUCUGGACUGACACUGACGCUGAGGUGCGAAAGCGUGGGUAGCAAACAGGAUUAGAUACCCUAGUAGUC
rnacentral:rRNA from 1 species